AAGAGACUAAUGAGUUACUAUAGCAACAAGCAGAUGGGUGUGGUCAAAUGAGUGGCUAUGGCAACUAAUGAGGUUAACAAUAAAGACAAACAAGGCACACAACAGACAAGGACAGAAAACACACAGGAAACAUAGAGAGUUCAGGAGGAGUAUGAUGAUGUGAUGAGUGUCAGUGAAGAUGUGAGAAACCUGUUGGAUUAUGAUGAUGUGGAGGAGGAGUCGAACAAAGAAGUGGGGCAUUCGGCUCAGUGAUCAUCCACUGCCUCGGUUCAACAAAUCUGAAC